rnacentral:rRNA from 1 species
AUGGUUGUCGUCAGCUCGUGUCGUGAGAGUGUUCGGGUUAAGUCCCGCAACGAGCCGCAACCCCUAUUGUUAGUUGCCAUCAUUCAGUUGGGCACUCUAGCGAGACUGCCGGUAAUAAACCGGAGGAAGGUGGGGAUGACGUCAAAUCAUCACUGCCCCUUAUGACCUGGGCUACACACGUGCUACAAUGGUUGGUACAACGAGUUGCGAGUCGGUGACGGCGAGCUAAUCUCUUAAAGCCAAUCUCAGUUCGGAUUGUAGGCUGCAACUCGCCUACAUGAAGUCGGAAUCGCUAGUAAUCGCGGAUCAGCACGCCGCGGUGAAUACGUUCCCGGGCCUU